CCUACGGGGGACAGCAGUGGGGAAUAUUGGGCAAUGGAGGAAACUCUGACCCAGCAACGCCGCGUGAAUGAUGAAGGUCUUCGGAUUGUAAAGUUCUUUUCUAAGGGAAGAAGAAAGUGACGGUACCUUAGGAAUAAGCCUCGGCUAACUACGUGCCAGCAGCCGCGGUAAUACGUAGGAGGCGAGCGUUAUCCGGAAUGACUGGGCGUAAAGGGUGCGUAGGCGGAUCGUUAAGUCAGUGGUCAAAUUGAGGGGCUCAACCCCUUCCCGCCAUUGAAACUGGCGUUCUUGAGUGGAAGAGAAGUAUGCGGAAUGCGUGGUGUAGCGGUGAAAUGCAUAGAUAUCACGCAGAACCCCGAUUGCGAAGGCAGCAUGCCGGCUUCCGACUGACGCUGAAGCACGAAAGCGUGGGGAUCGAACAGGAUUAGAUACCCGAGUAGUC
rnacentral:rRNA from 1 species